ACGUCCAGCAGAGGUGCUGCAUGGCUGUCGUCAGCUCGUGCCGUGAGGUGUUGGUUAAGUCCGCAACGAGCGCAACCCCUGUUCCUAGUUGCCAGCGGUUCGGCCGGGGACUCUAGGAAGACUGCCGGUGACAAACCGGAGGAAGGUGGGGAUGACGUCAAGUCAUCAUGGCCUCUAUGUCCAGGGCGUACACACGUGCUACAAUGGCCGGUACAGACGGACGCAAAGCCGCGAGGUGGAGCAAAUCCUAAAAAAGACCGGUCUCAGUUCGGAUUGCAGGCUGCAAUUCGCCUGCAUGAAGUCGGAAUCGCUAGUAAUCGCAGGUCAGCAUACUGCGGUGAAUACGUUCCCGGGCCUU
rnacentral:rRNA from 1 species